AUGGUCCAGAUACUAUCACUCAUCCACAGCAAAAAAGGGACUUUGAGUAGCAUGCCCGACAUACCAGCUGACGUCACAAACCUAAAGGCAAAGUACCAUAGAGAGAGCAAGUUGGCUGACAUAGAGGCCACAAUAGCCUACUUCGAUGAGAAAGCGAAGGAAGAUCCAGAUUUCUUCUACAGGAUAAGAUUGGACGAUGAGGACCGUGUCAGGAACAUGUAUUGGGUGGAUGGUGCUGCAAGAAGAGCCUACAAACAUUUCCGAGAUUGCAUUUCAUUCGACGCGACAUAUGUCACUAAUAUGUACAAGAUGCCAUGCGCUCCAUUCAUAGGAAUAAAUAACCACAAUCAGUAA
rnacentral:rRNA from 1 species